GAUGAACGCUGGCGGCGUGCCUAAUACAUGCAAGUCGAGCGAACGGACGAGAAGCUUGCUUCUCUGAUGUUAGCGGCGGACGGGUGAGUAACACGUGGAUAACCUACCUAUAAGACUGGGAUAACUUCGGGAAACCGUAGCUAAUACCGGAUAAUAUUUUGAACCGCAUGGUUCAAAAGUGAAAGACGGUCUUGCUGUCACUUAUAGAUGGAUCCGCGCUGCAUUAGCUAGUUGGUAAGGUAACGGCUUACCAAGGCAACGAUGCAUAGCCGACCUGAGAGGGUGAUAGGCCAAACUGGAACUGAGACACGGUCCAGACUCCUACGGGAGGCAGCAGUAGGGAAUCUUCCGCAAUGGGCGAAAGCCUGACGGAGCAACGCCGCGUGAGUGAUGAAGGUCUUCGGAUCGUAAAACUCUGUUAUUAGGGAAGAACAUAUGUGUAAGUAACUGUGCACAUCUUGACGGUACCUAAUCAGAAAGCCACGGCUAACUACGUG
rnacentral:rRNA from 1 species